rnacentral:rRNA from 1 species
GACGAACGCUGGCGGCGUGCUUAACACAUGCAAGUCGAACGAAGUGGCGAACGGGUGAGUAACGCGUAAUCAACCUGCCCUUCAGAGGGGGACAACAGUUGGAAACGACUGAUAAUACCGCAUAGUGAAGGAGGGGAUUGCGUGUGAUUAGCUAUUUGGAGGGGUAACGGCCCACCAAGGGCAUGAUCAGUAGCCGGUCUGAGAAGAUGAACGGGCACAUUUGGACUGAGACACGGCCCAUACUCCUACGGGAGGCAGCAGGGGGGAAUCUUCCGCAAUGGACGGAAGUCUGACGGAGCAACGCCGCGGGAGUGGUGACGGCCUUCGGGUUGUAAAGCUCUGUUAAGCGGGACGCGGUACCGGAAUAGAAAGCCACGGCUAACUACGUGCCAGCCGCCGCGGUAAUUC